rnacentral:rRNA from 1 species
UAGGGAAUCUUCGGCAAUGGACGAAAGUCUGACCGAGCAACGCCGCGUGAGUGAAGAAGGGUUUCGGAUCGUAAAACUCUGUUGUUAGAGAAGAACAAGGACGUUAGUAACUGAACGUCCCCUGACGGUAUCUAACCAGAAAGCCACGGCUAACUACGUGCCAGAAGCCGCGGUAAUACGUAGGUGGCAAGCGUUGUCCGGAUUUAUUGGGCGUAAAGCGAGCGCAGGCGGUUUCUUAAGUCUGAUGUGAAAGCCCCCGGCUCAACCGGGGAGGGUCAUUGGAAACUGGGAGACUUGAGUGCAGAAGAUGAGAGUGGAAUUCCAUGUGUGGCGGUGAAAUGCGUAGAUAUAUGGAGGAACACCAGUGGCGAAAGCGGCUCUCUGGUCUGUAACUGACGCUGUGGCUCGAAAGCGUGGGGAGCAAACAGG